rnacentral:rRNA from 1 species
GACGAACGCUGGCGGCAUGCCUAAUACACGCAAGUCGAGCGAACAGAUGAAGUGCUUGCACUUCUGACGUUAGCGGCGAACGGGUGAGUAACACGUAAGGAAUCUACCUAUAAGCGGGGGAUAACAUUCGGAAACGGGUGCUAAUACCGCAUAAUAUCUUCUUCCGCAUGGAAGAAGAUUGAAAGACGGCUCUGCUGUCACUUAUAGAUGACCUUGCGGUGCAUUAGUUAGUUGGUGGGGUAACGGCCUACCAAGACGAUGAUGCAUAGCCGACAUGAGGGGGUGAUCGGCCACAUUGGGACUGAGACACGGCCCAAACUCCUACGGGAGGCAGCAGUAGGGAAUCUUCCGCAAUGGGCGAGAGCCUGACGGAGCAAUGCCGCGUGAGGGAAGAAGGCCUUCGGGUCGUAAAACUCUGUUAUAAGAGAAGAACAAAUUGUAGAGUAACUGCUACAGUCUUGACGGUAUCUUAUCAGAGAGCCACGGCUAACUACGUGCCAGCAGCCGCCGUAA